rnacentral:miRNA from 1 species
UGGCUCUUUUACUGGCGUCUCU